AUCGCGCGCAGAACGAGGGGCGCCGGAGCAGUGACGGCGGUGCUUUAAUUUCCUCGUCAUUGGGCCGAUCUGAGGGCAGCGUCUGCAAUGAACAGUGAAUAAGAAGUGGAUUUGUGCUGCUGCUCACUGCACCCAGAGUUAGUUACCCCUACUGCAGGGCUGUGGGGAUGUCGUGCUGCUUUGGAUAGCUUUCAUCUGAAUGUGCAGUAGCAGCCACCACUUAGAGUUGACCUACUGGCCUCAGCACUUGAAGAGGUAAGUUUUCUCUUGCUAAGUCAUCCAAAAAGGUCCUGGGAAGCCUUUCAUUGCGGAGCAGUUCUUGGCCAGAAUUAUUUGACAUACAUCUCUUGAAUUAGGGAGUAUGUUUGGCAGUGUGGAUAGCCAUGCCUAAGCUAGUUAACUUGGACAACAACAGUCUAAUGAUAUGAGAAUAAAGUCUUAAGCAUGAGAUAUAAAAGCAUUCUGAAGACGUCACAUACUCAGCUGUCCAGUACAAACACAAAACAAAAUCAUGCUGUGACUGUUACCUGAGCUACCUACAUUAAACUUUGUGUAUGCUAGUUCGCAUUAGUUAUAUACAUACAGUUUCAUACGUGGCAACAGCAGUACAAAUUUACCCUUAGCUACUUUACUUUUCACAUUUCUAUUAUGAUUCAGUGUAUUUAUAGGCUAAUUACUGGGCCAAAUUCCUGUUAAAAGAACAGCUCUGUUUCAAACCGCUCUGAGGGUAGUUUUAUACAUAAACAAUAAUAAAGUAAGCUUAGGCAGAUCAAGAUUGGAACAAUGUAAGUAUAUGACAAACAAUGAAUGCUGAGCUGAGGAGACCAAUUCUGUAGUGUUACCUGUGAAGGUAGGUAUACUGUACUGUUACUGUACUUUUGAAAAAUCAGUGAUUGCCUGAAGUCUGUGGGGAAAAAAAAAAGAGGUACAGUUUUCCAAACUAGAAUAUAGGCAAAGAGGAGAAGGCAAUCACAGACAGUGCAUGCCGCCACCUAACAUAAUCUUUGAUUCAGCAAAUCUGCUGUUGCUCACCUUCUGAAUAUACAGUGUUGUGCUGAAGUCACAGUGGUGUUUCACAGACUUCUUUCUUAUUAUUAUGCUGGGUGCGUGUGAUUUUCUUUAGAUUGUGUUCCAUGAAACAGCAGCUACAUCAGCAGAUUAAAAUCUGUUUCCUACACUGCUGUCUUAAUGGUAACUUC